rnacentral:lncRNA from 1 species
AGAAUCCAAAGCUUAAAAAAAAGAAAGUGUUCAGAACUUAUCUACAUUAUGAAUCAUUUUGAAUCAACUAACUUUUCAAAAAUUUAAUUUUAUUAUUCAAUUUUUUAAAUUGUUUAAUUUGAGUCGGUCAAUUAUAUUCUAACUUUAAAAUUUAAACUAAUUAAUUACUUAUCCUAAUAAAUUUAUAGUUUUGAGAAUUAUAUAAAAUAUACUAAUUAAAUCUGUGAGCGAUAUAUUUAAAUUUAAAAAUCAAAAUAUUAUUGACUAAUUCAAAUUAAAUAAAUUAAAAUAUUGAAUAACAAGAUCAAAAUUCUGAAUGAUUCAAUAGUCUUAUUAAAAUGGCCUAUAUAUAUAAUUCACGUAGGUUCGGUAUAAUUUUACCUGGAAAGUAAAAAAAAAAAAAAGAAAAAAAAAAGAAAAAAAGAAAAAAAAAGA